GUUUUAAUAGUUUAAUUGAAAACUUUGGUCUUGUAAAUCAAAAAUGAAUUUUUUUUUCUUAAAAUA
rnacentral:tRNA from 1 species